UUAAUGGAGAGUUUGAUCCUGGCUCAGGACGAACGCUGGCGGCGUGCCUAAUACAUGCAAGUCGAGCGAGGGUCUUCGGACCCUAGCGGCGGACGGGUGAGUAACACGUAGGCAACCUGCCUGUAAGACUGGGAUAACAUAGGGAAACUUAUGCUAAUACCGGAUAGAGUU
rnacentral:rRNA from 1 species